CGACGUUCUCAUCGCGUCAUCGUGCAUUUCCGUUUCGCCAUCUUUUAUCUCCGGGAAGCGUGUGUCGUUUCGCGUCCUGUCUUAUCGCGUAGUUUUACGGACUACUGACUUGGUUCUUGUACGAGCCGCAAAAUGCCGGGUUUUAGCAGCGUUGGCACGUUUAAAAUCUUCAUUGGUAAUUUAGCCGACAAGACUUCGAAUGCGGACAUAAAGCCAUUAUUCGAGAAGUAUGGGAAAGUCGUGGAAUGCGACGUGGUAAAGAAUUAUGGCUUCGUGCAUAUGGAAAAUGAGGAGGCAGGCCGAAACGCGAUACAGAAUCUGAAUGGACACAUGGUUCAUGGGCAACCGAUCAAAUGCGAGGCUGCAAAGAGUCGCAAGGGACCCAACACUCCCACAACUAAGAUCUUUGUCGGCAAUCUCACAGACAACACUAAGGCGCCGCAAGUGCGUGAACUGUUCGCCAAGUACGGCACCGUUGUUGAAUGCGACAUUGUACGAAACUACGGUUUCGUUCAUCUCGAGGCAACUGGCGACGUCAACGACGCUAUUAAGGAGCUCAACGGGCAGAUCGUCGAUGGACAACCGAUGAAAGUCCAGAUUUCCACUAGCCGAGUUCGACAGAGGCCAGGCAUGGGCGAUCCAGAGCAAUGCUACCGAUGCGGAAGAGGCGGUCACUGGUCCAAGGAGUGUCCCAAAGGAGGGAUGGGAGGUGGACCGGACAGGAAUGGAUACAGGGACCGAAUGUUUGGACGUGACCCAUAUCCUCCACCGCCGCCACCACCGUUCCUACGGGACCGGCUAAUGGGUGGUGGCCGCUUUGGGGAUUAUGAAAGCUACUACGACAGGCGCGGCUUCGAGGACACCAGGGACCUCUACGAGAGGCGGUUUACGGGUAUGACAGGGCCCAGUGACAUGGGAACAUCCAUGUGCGGGCUAGACUUUCCACCAAUGACAAUGCCACCUCUACCUCCAAGACGAGACCCAAUGCCUCCUAUGCCUCCUCUAGGUAUGGGAUCCAUGCGUGACACUGGCUUCUCCCGUGGCAAUGAGUAUGGAAUGUUCAGCCGCCGAUCUCCCCCUCCAAGUGGCAACAACGGCCGGUUCAGUAGAGGCAUGUACGAGGACUUCAGCCGAGAUUCGUUUGAAGAGCGUAGUCAAACUUGCAGACUCGGAGAUUGAGCAGGUCUACAGAAUCGGACUUGGCUGGAAGAUCGCUUUUCCACUCAACCGGCGGCAGGGCAGAGGCGACCAGCCACGUUCUGUAACUUUGUCACGCAGUCACCUCUCUUCCCCCCCAAAGUUACUUUAAGAGACACUGCGUGUCCCGAGCAAGCCUCUCUCAGAGUGACUUUGGACACACGAACGUGUAGAACCAGGCACGCUACUCAAUCAUCUCUGCAUUCUUGAGAUGUGGACGCGAUGAUAGCCCUCUGCUCGCCGGCGACGUCCACGAAGGAUGAUGUUACCCUCGAAGGAACGAGCGAGACGGGCUCGAGAGACGAGGGAGCUUCAAGUAGAAGCGACGAAGUUGAGAUCUGGUGGAGGAGCGACGUAGUGUGGACGAGAGGUAAUUGUCCAUCUCAGCACUCUGUACCACGUCGAAAGACACCGCGAGAAAGAGCGCGGGAGAGGGCGAGUCCGGAGAUCACGCGAGAAUCGGGAUUGCGUUGCCGCAUCCGAGGCCCCAAGGUCCUCCCGGUAUCGGUUCGGCGAGAAGCGGCGCUUCUUCUUCACUCUAGGGGAGAGCCCCGUCUCCGUGAGAGGAAUCUUCUGUAGAGUAUGGACAAAACUGAGAUGCGCUACGACGUGCUUGAACACGCCAAAUCUCGCCUUAGAGCGGAAGAUUCUCGAGAGUCUCUUUCUCUCUCCGCUCGGCGGGAGCACGAAGGUAUCGUAAGAACGAAUACUUUCCCCGCGCUGCGAUUCCUGUAAAAUAUCAAAUAAAUAUCAGACACGUGAUACAAGAGCGUCCUAAUGAAAUAAUGCGAUUGUUCAAGUGAUAUCGUUUCAAGUGAUCACGUUUGCAUUUUAAUGUUUUUGCUGGUUCUUUUUGCUCGAAAAAGUAAAAUUGUAAUCUUAAUUCUUAUUCACGGCGAAUUCUUAUAUUUUUUUUUUACAUUUAUUUGAAAGUUUAAUUUAUCGAGAUUACAGCGAUUUUAAUAUUAUCUUUUUUUUUUUUGUUGAUGUUUAAACAUCCGGUCUCUCUUUUGAUCUACCACCAUGUUAAAUGAUGACAAAAGCGAAAAAUGAUAUAAAUCUUUUUAAACUGUUCGUCGAAAUUAAUUUUUUUCAGCAUGCUGUUACUUUAGUUCGAUAGAAUAUAUUGAUAGAAUAUCGCAAAAUUUCAUUAUUCUGUGUUAAAUUGAUAUAAAAUCGAAUCGAGUUAUAUUUUUAGCGAAAGGUAUGUAAUAUCAAUUGAUUAAAAAAACUUCAAAGA